AUUUUGGUCAAUCAUAUAUGUCACUAUUAUAUUUCACGGCCUUCAACCCGGUUAAACACUGGGCGCGGGUUGAGCCUGACCAAGUUCCGGGAACUAACUGUAGACAUUGUCAAUUUACACGUUUUAUUGUCAAUAACUCAAACAACGCGCAUACAACGUUCAAACAUCAAACAACGUUCAAAGAACAACGUCAAACAACGUCAUAUAACGCACAACGUACAACGUAAAACUUUCAGCGUACAACUUUCAACGUACAAUUUUCAACGUUUAUCUGAAAUUAACAAUGAACUUAAAUUUAAUAAUGGUUCACAACAGAAAUGAAGAUUUAACACAAACUGGUAUUAAACACUCAUUAGAUUAGACAUUAAAUGAACUUUACGUCGGCACAAAAAUAAGAUAUUGCCAAACUAAAAGAAAAUGUUAAUGGAAGUUUCAAAGCAAGAAUUAUCUGGUUUUCAUUACUUUACCGGAAAAAAUGAUAAAACAAUAAAAAUACAUUUUGCACAUAAAAUAUAACAUAAUAUAUGAGUCAAGGAUAACAUAAAAUACAAAAAACAUGAACUUACUGAACAAUGCUAUCUUUAUUCCCAAACACUUAGAAAAGACAAUUACAAUGUAAAACGGUCAAUCAGCGAUCUUUUUGCGCACUGAAGGCAGAAUGCAAAUUCAGACUGUUGUCGCCAAAAUAUUCACUAUACGUACUGGUUGACCAAUGAAAUGUUGAGUAUACACCAUGGAAACGGAUCUAAAAAUAGGGCCUCCAAAUAAGUAUAGUCAAGCCUACAUUCCUAGAAAACUCGAAAGAGCACAGAGCAAGGGUGUGGAUGAUAACCCUGCCAGCAGUAAAUUGCUAGAUAAACAAUACAAUGAAAAAAACAACAAUGUCGCUAUCAAAACUGGGUCCUAGACCACAUAGUCUCCGAACAGUAACAGUUUGAAGCUGUGAAGAAUAGGAUCCUAUUUUUCCCAGACCUGUGAAGAAUAUGAUCUGGGAAUAAUAAGGUUCUACAAAGCUCGAACCCGAAUAUGGUUUCAUGCGCCCCGCCUACUAACCCCGUAACGUAUAUAUCACGUCGACAACCUGUUAACAUGUUUCAUUUAUUCAUCGGAAUAUUCAUCGGAAUCGGUGACCCAAUAUGGAAAAAAUAUGGGGUCACCACGUGACCAGUUCUGGACCAAUGGCGUUGCGUCAUUGAUGUUGGAGACGUGAUACAGUCGAACAUAUGUACAUGUAUUGCCUAUAUUGAAUAUAGUGUUAACAUGUAUAAACAUUUGAAUUCUCGUUUUGGUUCUAUUUUCAUAUCGGGUUAACAUAAUCAUUUUGUUUAUCGUCCAACCCUCAUAUCGUUUCCAUUGUCAUGAUGGGUUAACAGAACCAUUAUUUUCACUUGUAUCUAUUGUCUUAAUGGGUUAAUAUGGUCAUUAUUUUACAUUUGAAUUGUCAUAGUAGGUUAAAAUGAUCAUGGUUUGACUGUUUUCUUAUUGCGUCCAGGAUUUCGACCUGACAAGGACAUACAGGAGGGGUCUUGCGAUCCGGUGUCCAGCCCUGCUGUCUACAUCUAUGACGAUACCCACAUUAACGUCUCAGUAUCCACCUACAAACAACUUGAAAUCGCGCCAGUUAAAAACCCUUAUACCAUUUACCUGAAGCCGCGCAAUUUCAAACAGAGCUCUUGGGGUUACCCUCGCCGCCACAAGGUUCGAGUGCGAGUUUCACCCCUCCCCCUUUGCAGAGUUUAAGCUCGUCUGUUUUUCAAAGAAACAUUGUUUGGCUACUUGGAUAGUAGUAUGGUAUGUAGUCUUGUCAGAGUGUCGUCAUAAUCGUCAUCUGCGGCGUCGACGUGCAGAAACUGGAGGGAAAUCUGCAUUGGCCAUAAUUCAAGAACUUAAGAUAUCCAAAGGAAGCUGGGCUCAUAGAGACCAUACAUAUCUAUAGCAAAACACAUAACACGGAAUUAUGCUCCUUGUUCCAUAGAAGAAACCAAGAACAUAAUAUCCUUUCCCUUCACUGCGUGGCACUCCCGUUAUAGUAUUCCAAGUAUUGGUGUUUAUAUGUAGUGAAAAGGCAUCAUGGGUGUGAACAUGGGUUGUAAAAGGUGUGAGGAGCCAUUUUUUCUUAAUUAAACAUUCAUUUCAUGUAGCAAUAUCCGAUCCAACUGUUACCUUUUUUCAGAAACUGACUCUUUCUAUGAGGUAAGCCACGGUUUAGGGGAAUACCCGGGACUGGUGAUCAUGCGAGCCUUAUUGGAGACUAACGGACGGACGUUCCGCGCGGAUGGUGUAGGUUCGAGUAUGAAUGUGUUUUAUAGAGUCGAUCGUUUCAAUAAUGCCUACUUGGUGUACGGGUUUAACGAUGAGAAUUUCCGAGUGUGGGUGGACGCAUCUCCUUCCGGUGCGAUAUUUGAUGGUAGAAAACACACAUGGUUUGACUUCAUGGUAUCAAGAAACACGGUGGAGAUCUAUGCGUGGAAGUUGUCCACCCUGACCCCGUAUGUUACUCAUCGCUUCUCUAUGGGUGACGUCAAUGUUCCCCUGGACGAAAAGCUGUCCGUCAAGUACGAGUUGGUCGAAACCUUCAUUCAAGUCAGGGGAUGCCACAAAAAAUAAUAUUUCAUAAUUUUACAAGGCAGUGCAAAAUA